AACAUAGCCCUAGGUAGAAAUAUAGGGUAAUACCUGCUCAAUGAAUAGUAUUUUAAUAGCCGCGGUACCUUGACCGUGCUAAGGUAGCAUAAUCAGUUGACUUUUAAAUGAAGUCUGGAAUGAAGGGAAAAACGGGAUUAAACUGUCUCUUGUUUUUUAUUAUGAAUUUACUAAUCAGGUGAAAAGGCCUGAGUAAGAUAAAGGACGAGAAGACCCUUAGAGUUUUUUAAAAUAUUUUGUUGGGGCGACAAAGAAUCAAAUUAACAUUCUUAUAUAUUAUAGGACGGAUUUAUCAUGAAUAGAUAAACUACCUGAGGGAUAACAGCAUUAUCUUUUAAGGUUUGUGACCUCGAUGUUGGACUAGGAAGCCUAUAGGCUAGCCGCUUAUAUGGGGGGUUCUGUUCGAACUUUCUCUCCUACGUGA
rnacentral:rRNA from 1 species